UGGGGAAUCUUCCGCAAUGGACGAAAGUCUGACGGAGCAACGCCGCGUGUGUGAAGAAGGUCCUCGGAUCGUAAAGCACUGUUAUUAGAGAAGAAUAUCCGGUAGAGUAACUGUUACCGGCCUGACGGUAUCUAACCAGAAAGCCACGGCUAACUACGUGCCAGCAGCCGCGGUAAUACGUAGGUGGCAAGCGUUGUCCGGAUUUAUUGGGCGUAAAGGGAGCGCAGGCGGUGAUUUAAGUCUGAUGUGAAAGCCCACGGCUCAACCGUGGAAGGUCAUUGGAAACUGGAUCACGUGAGUGCAGAAGAGGAAAGUGGAAUUCCAUGUGUAGCGGUGAAAUGCGUAGAUAUAUGGAGGAACACCAGUAGCGAAGGCGGCUUUCUGGACUUAUACUGACGCUGAGGAACGAAAGCGUGGGGAGCAAACAGG
rnacentral:rRNA from 2 species